rnacentral:lncRNA from 1 species
AGAAAAAAAAAUCUACUAUCUGCUAAUAUAAUUUUAGGUGGAACCCUAAGGAGUCGUUUGAUGUGAGGUAUACGGUAAAAAUGUAGCACUAUUUUAUUAUGCGUUUGGCUAAAGGUAUUAGACAAUCAUGAGAUUAUUACAUUCUCACAAUCAUGAGAAUGUAAGAUAAAUAACAUACAAAUAAUUCAUUUGAUCUAUUUAUAAAGGCAC